rnacentral:rRNA from 1 species
UACAGAGGAUGCAAGCGUUAUCCGGAAUGAUUGGGCGUAAAGCGUCUGUAGGUGGCUUUUUAAGUCCGCCGUCAAAUCCCAGGGCUCAACUCUGGACAGGCGGUGGAAACUACCAAGCUGGAGUACGGUAGGGGCAGAGGGAAUUUCCGGUGGAGCGGUGAAAUGCGCAGAUAUCGGGAAGAACACCCGUGGCUAAGGCGGCUCUCUAGUACGGUACUGACGCUGAGACGCGAAAGCGUGGGGAGCGAACAGG